rnacentral:rRNA from 1 species
UACAGGGGGUGCAAACGUUGCUCGGAAUCAUUGGGCGUAAAGCGCACGUAGGCGGUUCGUUAUGUCGGAUGUGAAAGCCCUUGGCUUAACCGAGGAAGUGCAUCCGAAACUGGCGAGCUAGAGUACGAAAGAGGAUCGCGGAAUUCCCGGUGUAGAGGUGAAAUUCGUAGAUAUCAGGAGGAACACCGGUGGCGAAGGCGGCUAUCUGGACAGUAACCGACGCUGAGGCGCGAAAGCUAGGGGAGCAAACAGG